CAUCACAGUGUGACACUCAGCGGAGGUAAAUACAAACACGAAGCGCUAGCGGCGUUUUCCUGCUCAGUAGCUGUGGGUGAAGGAACCGUGUCCUCUGUGGACAGUGAGAGAUUAACCGCUGCUGCUCAACAAAUAUUCACUGUUUGUGGAAACUAUCGUCGAGUACGAAGAGGAGGUGGAGCGUCAGCGCGGACUGCUGGACCUCACCUGGAAACCGGAAGUAAAGCUACACAGGACAGAGCUCCCACAGCAACAUGUCUGUAAGGAGGAGGAGGUUCCCACCGACCCACAGCUCUGUAACCAGGACAGGAACUCUAGUCCAGACCAGGAGGACCCGGAGCCUCGACAGAUUAAAGAGGAACAACACUACGCCAGUCAGGAGGGAGAGGAGCCUGCACAAAAGACUGUUACCUUUAUGUUGCCUCCUGUUUCUGAGCAAAGAGAGGCAGAAAGUAACAGCAAUCACCAGCUCCUCUUUCACAACCCAGAAUCAGGGAGGAAGUGAGGCCGUGGACCCAGGAUCAGCCGGAGCUGCAGAGCCACAGCCACAGAGGGGACGUCAGAAGAGUCAGAAAGGUAAAAAGUCUUUUAAAUGUGACACCUGUGGAAAAGUAUUCCCUCGCGUGUCCUCGUUGAAUAGACGUGAUAAUCCACAGAGGAGAGAAACCGUAUGCUUGCAGCUCCUGCGGGAGAGGAUUCAGUCUGCCAUCACAUCUGACUUCUCAUGUGAAAAUCUACAUGGGUGAGAAACCAUACUCCUGCGGAAUAUGUGGGAAAAGUUUCAGGGACAUGCCGAUGUUGAAAAGGCACGUGAUUACGCACACAAAUGAGAAACAAUAUCCCUGAAAAAUGUGGGGAAAGUUACAGACUUAAACAUAGUUUGCUUGUCCACAUGAAAACCCACACCCAGGAGAAACCAUACGGCUGCAACACCCACGGGAAAACAUCUGAGCAGGCAUCAGCCAUGUCAGGCUUCAUGGAGGACUGACAGACCACAUCACACUCAGAGCAGGGAGACAAACCAGCACGAUGAGGCUACUGCAGAAAUACUCGGAGGAAAACGGUCGAGCAGGAACUGGAGUGUAGUGAACACACCUGUUGGACACCAGGUGGCGCUGUAGGAUGGUGAGAGACAUGUCACUGACAUCACACAGACUCACUGACCUGCUCAUUCAUGAAGUAACAACCAUGAAAAGAGAAAUCACUGAAGAUUUUCUAGGUUUUAAUGUGUCAGAUCUGUAGAGCAUUACGACGUCCUCUGUCCUGAGAGCACUGAACCUGAGAGGAACUUUUCUCACUUGAAGGAUCAGGUUGUAUUUUGAACCAAAAAACACAGAAGCAAAGCCUGGACCUCGACCCGGACUCAGGUCGACUUUGCCUGGUUGGUAUUCCAGCCCCAUACACACACACACACACACACACACACACAAACAGCUGAAGAGGCUUUUUGUGUUUCCAUUGCGUGAAUCUGCAGCAGUAAUCAGAAGCAAACGUCAGGCAUUCCAAACAGAUGAUGGUAACAACCACCUGUGAAUUAAUGAGAAAUUAAUUAGGGUUCGAUUAUGUACAUACUGUGUUAUUUAGGAGGGUGGAAGCACAUAUCUAUAGUUACACCUGACUGUCUGCAUUGUUUCUACCAAACUGACCAAACCUUUAAGGCGACCGACACCCUGCACACAACAACCACCAGCUCACACAGCUGCUGUAUGAACACUGCACUGUUUCUGGGUGCUGAUGUGAUGAGAUGAUGCCGAUGGACACUGAUGAACACUGAAUAUACUUUAUUCAUCUCAUGACCACUGCGUAUUUGUCUUGAGAGCAACAAUCAGUCGUUCUCCAGAAAGAACUGUGUCAUCUACUGAUUAAGUUCUGAAUUAAAUCAGUUAGUCGAGUUCAGUUUGUAUGUUUUUAGUUUCAUGUUCAGAGGAAGAACUGCUCCAUUUAAAUCAAACUUUCAUUUAGUUUUCCUGAUUCUUGACCUGAGUUGCUGCUCAGUACAUUGUUUGGUCAGUAGUUAUGAAUGGUGUGUAGAGCAUGCCUCUGUCUUACUGUACAGUCUUUGUUUUGUACAAAGUAGAAGCUUCUUACUGAACACAGCAGUAAAGUGUUCGCAGUCAGGAUGUCUGGUCUCUCAGUUCAGUCACCACCUGUGAAUGGACUGUACCAUUCACACAGCACUUGUUCUACAUAUAUAUACAAAGAGCCCCCUAACACAGACACACACAUUCAUACAUCAGGGCCAAUGUGGGUUCAGGAUUUUGCCUAAGGACACUUCCUACGACCUUCCGGUUGGUGGGUGACCGCUCUACCUCCUGAGCCAUGUUCAGGUAACUGAGAAGCUCGUACCAGUGAAUCUGUUCUGGUGUUGUAGCUUAAGAGUAACUUGAACGAUUAAUCACUAAUGAAACUGUUCCCAGGUCUGCUGUGGAGUCCUGGUUGGUGCCUGAGUGAAAUAGUGAAGAGGCCGUGUACAGUGGGAGUCAGUGGGUUAUUCUGGCCUCUGGGAUUACUCAGUCUGUAGCUGCUGCUGUGGACACUCAGUGUUUUAGGGCGUGUGGAGAUUUCUACAGCCUGUUUCUAUAAUAAUUCACCUGAAACAAACAGCCCGGAUAAUGAUCAGUGUGGACGAUGAUAUAACCAUGACUGUUUCUAAUCGUUUUCUUGUUUGGGUGUGGUUGAAAGAAAAUAACCACAGAUUCCAGAUCUGAUUAGUAACAUGUCAGAUUAACAGUGUUACACUGAGAGUGUGCUGGUUCUGCUCCUUUUCUAACAUUUACACUGACCUUGAGAAAUGAUUCAAUCUAACAGAUGUCACUGGACCAGGCUGAAAAACUGGAUGGAAAUGAAAACCCUGUUAUUUCCUAAUAGAAGAUGCAGUGUCCUCAGUGAUUUUAGAUUUAGUUUGUGUCAUUGAUCAGGUCAAAGUUGAUGAGGAGUGUCCUGCUGUUUGUUGUAGCUACAGAGUUGAAUGUUCUCUGUAAUUAGAAGAAAUGAUCACAGGGAGGGUGAUGUUCAUUAAAACCUGUGUGACACCCAGCACACAGGUUCAGCCACAGCCACUGCAGCAGAGUUUUAUUGCUCUCUAGUUAAACUGUGAUGUUAACAGCCUGUGUUCAGUCUGAUGGCUGUGAAACUGUUCAACCAUCCAGACUCAUAACAGACACAAAGAGAAGACUUUAAAGGAAUUUAACAAGACUCAUAGAUUGUUAUAAUUAGCUGAUUUGUGUCAGGUCUCAGUAUAGGACAUGGAGACGGAUCAACACUGUGGUUUUGCAUACAGAUGGGUGAGAUGUAGGCCAGUCGAUGGAGAGAAACAAACACUGAAUGAGCGAGAAAGAAAUCCAGUCCAGUUUUACACCACAUAUAUAUUUCUACUGUUUUAAACGUUUUCUAUUUGUUCUUUGACUUUGACUUUAGUUAAGGUGGAUAAAUCAGAAACAUUUACAGUGAGAGGGGUUUAUACACCCGGGGUGAUACUGGUCUCAACACAGAAUCAAAGAGUGUGUCUUUACUCAGAAUAACUUGCACUGAUCUCAGAGAUGAAGAUUUCUCUCGCUGCAUUUCGACUGGGUGGUAGUAUUCCUCUUGUGGCUGCAGUGCUCAGGUCCUGUGUCUGUCCCUGGUCCUCAGCGAUCCACUAAACUCUUUGGCUCAGGUCUUUGUGACUCAGUCAGUGACAGAGACAACAACCGUCCCUGUCUGAUUCUGAUCUCUCAUCCUCUGAUCCGCUGUGUCAAACUCCCUCCCAACUCUCUGCACAGUUCAGAGAGGCUUUAAAGUGGAGGGAGGCAGACAGACACAGUUUUAACUAAGUGUUUGUUAAGACUGAAUUUAAAGCUGUGGUAACAAACUGUUCAUUACUAACAGUGACAUUAUUUAUUCAGUAAUAAAUGAAGUCCAGAAAUUACUUUAAAUAUGCUUAGUGCUGUUUCAUUUCUUGGCCAGAAGCUGAGCCAUCAGGCUCCAGCUACAGAGACUGAUUCACAACUUAUCUAAAAUCUGUCAGUCCACAGGGAUGGUCCAACUGUGACACACUCACAUUC